GGACGAGAAGCUUGCUUCUCUGAUGUUAGCGGCGGACGGGUGAGUAACACGUGGAUAACCUACCUAUAAGACUGGGAUAACUUCGGGAAACCGGAGCUAAUACCGGAUAAUAUUUUGAACCGCAUGGUUCAAAAGUGAAAGACGGUCUUGCUGUCACUUAUAGAUGGAUCCGCGCUGCAUUAGCUAGUUGGUAAGGUAACGGCUUACCAAGGCAACGAUGCAUAGCCGACCUGAGAGGGUGAUCGGCCACACUGGAACUGAGACACGGUCCAGACUCCUACGGGAGGCAGCAGUAGGGAAUCUUCCGCAAUGGGCGAAAGCCUGACGGAGCAACGCCGCGUGAGUGAUGAAGGUCUUCGGAUCGUAAAACUCUGUUAUUAGGGAAGAACAUAUGUGUAAGUAACUGUGCACAUCUUGACGGUACCUAAUCAGAAAGCCACGGCUAACUACGUGCCAGCAGCCGCGGUAAUACGUAGGUGGCAAGCGUUAUCCGGAAUUAUUGGGCGUAAAGCGCGCGUAGGCGGUUUUUUAAGUCUGAUGUGAAAGCCCACGGCUCAACCGUGGAGGGUCAUUGGAAACUGGAAAACUUGAGUGCAGAAGAGGAAAGUGGAAUUCCAUGUGUAGCGGUGAAAUGCGCAGAGAUAUGGAGGAACACCAGUGGCGAAGGCGACUUUCUGGUCUGUAACUGACGCUGAUGUGCGAAAGCGUGGGGAUCAAACAGGAUUAGAUACCCUGGUAGUCCACGCCGUAAACGAUGAGUGCUAAGUGUUAGGGGGUUUCCGCCCCUUAGUGCUGCAGCUAACGCAUUAAGCACUCCGCCUGGGGAGUACGACCGCAAGGUUGAAACUCAAAGGAAUUGACGGGGACCCGCACAAGCGUGGAGCAUGUGGUUUAAUUCGAAGCAACGCGAAGAACCUUACCAAAUCUUGACAUCCUUUGACAACUCUAGAGAUAGAGCCUUCUUCGGGGGACAAAGUGACAGGUGGUGCAUGGUUGUCGUCAGCUCGUGUCGUGAGAUGUUGGGUUAAGUCCCGCAACGAGCGCAACCCUUAAGCUUAGUUGCCAUCAUUAAGUUGGGCACUCUAAGUUGACUGCCGGUGACAAACCGGAGGAAGGUGGGGAUGACGUCAAAUCAUCAUGCCCCUUAUGAUUUGGGCUACACACGUGCUACAAUGGACAAUACAAAGGGCAGCGAAACCGCGAGGUCAAGCAAAUCCCAUAAAGUUGUUCUCAGUUCGGAUUGUAGUCUGCAACUCGACUACAUGAAGCUGGAAUCGCUAGUAAUCGUAGAUCAGCAUGCUACGGUGAAUACGUUCCCGGGUCUUGUACACACCGCCCGUCACACCACGAAGAGUUUGUAACACCCGAAGCCGGUGGAGUAACCUUUUAGGAGCUAGCCGUCGAAGGUGGGACAAAU
rnacentral:rRNA from 1 species